rnacentral:rRNA from 1 species
UACGAAGGGGGCUAGCGUUGCUCGGAAUCACUGGGCGUAAAGCGCACGUAGGCGGAUUGUUAAGUCAGGGGUGAAAUCCUGGAGCUCAACUCCAGAACUGCCUUUGAUACUGGCGGACUUGAGUCCGGGAGAGGUGAGUGGAACUGCGAGUGUAGAGGUGAAAUUCGUAGAUAUUCGCAAGAACACCAGUGGCGAAGGCGGCUCACUGGCCCGGUACUGACGCUGAGGUGCGAAAGCGUCGGGAGCAAACAGG